UACAGAGGUCCCGAGCGUUGUUCGGAUUUAUUGGGCGUAAAGAGCGUGUAGGCGGCCAAGUAAGUCCGGUGUGAAAACUCGAGGCUUAACCUCGAGAUGUCAUCGGAAACUAUUUGGCUAGAGUCCGGAAGAGGAGAGUGGAAUUCCUGGUGUAGCGGUGAAAUGCGCAGAUAUCAGGAAGAACACCUAUGGCGAAAGCAGCUCUCUGGGACGGUACUGACGCUGAGACGCGAAAGCGUGGGGAGCGAACAGG
rnacentral:rRNA from 1 species